GGGGCCAUAGCUCAGUUGGGAGAGCGCUUGAAUGGCAUUCAAGAGGUCGCCGGUUCGAUCCCGGCUGGCUCCACCA
rnacentral:tRNA from 1 species